CAUUCCAUUAGGACCUGUCAGCAGACACGUUAAUAACCGGUGCAGUAGCGCCAUCUUGUGGCAGCUCCGACACGCAGAUACAGAUAAAAACAUACAAGACAUUACAAUACAGCAGCUAACAAGAAGCAAGGAAAUGCGGGUAGAGGGAACUUAUACACCAUACGCAAGAUUAAGCCAGCCCAGAAGAUGUGAAGAGCCUGCAGCACCAUCAGCAGGACGUUGAAAAAGUAGUAGCCGGGAAAAGGUUCAAACACCUCCAUGGACAGCACCAUGGUUGUGUGGAGGAUUCUGUUAUGCUAAUAAUGGCAGACGUCUCCUGGGUUACCAUGCUCUGGGGAAGCAGCUGAUGACACCCAUAGAAACAAUCCAGGACACUUCCAGGACUUCAUAGUUUAAAGAUGGUACACUGGGAGGUCAAGCUGUGGUUCAGGGAGCAGAUGCAGGUCACCGCUACAGGCUGUUUGGACUCCAUGACAGCAGAGGGCCUGCUCCGUGCUGGAGGCGGAGAUGUCCAGGAGUCUCCAGGCCGCGUUGGGGUUCAGCUCCUCCUGGUCACGACACAACGCCCACACAUACAUCAUCCUCAUUACCUUCUCCUGUUGAAGGAGGAGGAGAGCAGAAGGUCUCCUUUGGGGCCGCGGAUCACCAUGACGACCUGAGCCUGGAAGGUGAUGAUCAGCACCGGGCCCUGGUCCAUCAUUUUACCCAUUGCUAGCUACAACACAGGGAGAGACAAUGAACAAACAAAUUAAAUGAGAACAACACACUUAA